CUUGGGCGUAAAUCUGGUAUGGCGAUGUUGGCUUAAACUGAAAAUGAUAAACAAUCAGCAUAAUUUGCCAGCCAUAAUUCCCUGAAGUUUGCGAAGGACUCUCCAAGGAACAAGUGUUCUGUUUUAAGACCAUUUCAACGCCAUGGAGUGCCGUUUGAACUUGGAAGUGGUUGGUAAAGUCUUGUGCUUUAUUUUGCUAAUAUUGCAAGGGGCCAUUCUGGAUUAUUACCUCUACGAACAUCAUGAAUACAAAUCACUUGGAUUUAUAGCGACUGAUGUUGUAGUUCUCGCCAUCUGGAUAGGCGUGAUGUUCAUGGCCAAACGAAAGUUGCUCACCGAAAAAUGGAGAAAGGUUCGACGAGGAAAAGAAAAAACUGACGGGAAACAUCGGCCUGUUGAAGUAAAGAAUGAUGGUGCGGACGAAAUCGCCUUUGUCUUCAUCGCGUGGCUGGCAUAUGUUGCCAUCACUCUUGUUCCUGAGAUAGCUGUGAUUUUUAAAAGAUUUGCUGAUCAGCUCGGAGAUGCCAGAGUGUUCGGGCAAAACUUUCUUAAAGUUGCACUUUGCAUCACUCCUAUGUUAUUUCUGUUGCUGGUUAAUUCACUUCACGACGCCAAGCGCUACUCUAAACGAAGAAUCUACAUUGACAAACUGUCAGCUGGAGUUACGCUGGAUCUUCUAGACAGCAUUGAUAUUUUGGAGAUUUUGUUUAUAGAUGAUGUAGAACUAAAACUUCCAGUUGCAUUGGAAAAUGCCAUAAUUGCAUUUGCAUGCAUCAACUUUUUCUUGCCUACUUUAGCACUGCUUGAAUUGAGUGCAAUUGUAAAAGGUGAGGUUCGUUCUGCAACUUUUCAGAUCUUGUACUCGAUAUCCUAUAUUUUUCUGGUAAAUGUGCCCUUGGGGGUCAUCAGGAUUAUCCUAUGGACCAAAUUUAACCAAGACGUGUCAGUGUUUAUUGGAAAGAAUAUCAUUGCAUCAGCCAUCUACAUAUUUGAUAUCUACGCAACCUGUGGGCCAGAGGAACCAUUGCGGUGCCCUAGGUGUGGAAAAUGUUAUACAGCAGAUUCAGUUGAUGGCCACAAAGCUCUAUGUUCUUGUACUGAACUUGGUGGGGAUGAAACUAGUACACCAAUGACAUCUCCCUUGGCAGAUACGUUUCCUCCAGUUUAAAGAGGGACAGGAAACAAGUACAAUUUACGAAUAUGUAAAGACAAGCCUCAAUUGAGGCUAACUAAGCAAUCAAAAAUCUGUGCAUGUGUGAAUGUUGUCAUGAUUAGAUGGUGUGCUUUCAAGUUGUCAGAACCAAGUUGUAUUACAUGAGGUACAAACAAUCAUACAUCUUAGGAAGUUUGGGAUUUUUCUGUACCAAAUAGCUUUAUUUACAACUCUCAAAACAACAUUAUUUUGUUGUCAUGAUUAGAUGGUGUGCUUUCAAGUUGUCAGAACCAAGUUGUAUUACAUGAGGUACAAACAAUUAUACAUCUCAGGAAGUUUGGGAUUUUUCUGUACCAAAUAGCUUUAUUUACAACUCUCAAAACAACAUUAUUUUGUUUUAAGAGUUGUGAAAAAAAUUAUUUGGUAAAUGAACAAUACACUGAUUGUUUAAAUAAGCUCUUUGUUCUAAAAGUCUUAAGUUUUUCUUUUUCCUACUUUUGUCUUGUUCUGCAGAUCUCUUUGAAGGUUUCAAUUUUUUCAGAUAUUUUGUUGGACAACUCAGUUGUUUUUUUGUUUGGAAUUUUUCUCCUUGUGCAUGCUUUAUGUUUAACUGUUGUAGUUAAAAGGGUGAGGUAUGGGAUGUUUUUAACCUCUAAGAGUGAUAAGUAUCUAAUUUCAGACUAUAACAUCACCAUAAAUCCAACAAAAAUAAUGAAAAUACAGGAAAUGAUCCCAAACUCAAGACGCUCUUGAUUGUUAUACAAAUUCUCUUUGCAUUUACCAUAGAAAAAUUAUAGAGAACAGUAAGAAGAGUAUGCAUUCUGAUGUUAAGAUGUAAAAGGUUGAGAAAGAAACUUUUGAUGGUUGCAUUGAUUUUGGUUUACCUUGGUCAGUGUUUGGUCAAGAAAAUUUGCACCACACUCUACUGAAGCCAGUCAUAUAUCAAAACUGAAAACAUUUUUGCAUGGUCACCCAAGUUUUCUUUGCCUUAACUCUGUGGCUUUCUUCAACCUCCUAUUGGUUCCUUGUGUUUUGACCCUUUCUUCUUUUUGGCUGUUGUGAUGUUUGCUGAAUACAGGCUUAUUUGUAGUAUAAUAAACCCUUUAACUCCCAGAUCAAAUUUGUAAUUCUCAUUACUGUCAACCAUACAAUUCUUAGAAUGUUAGUUCAGAGAAUUUAGUAUUGAAUCAACUUAUUAUGCCCAAACUGAUAUUUUUCUUCAUUCUCAGCACUUAUCUGGUUGAUAUUGUAUUGAUAUUGUGAGGAGAAAUUCUGUCUUGAUCACUUGUGGGAGUUACAGGGUUAAUACACAAUAGCUGAAUUUUGCUUAUAAAGCUAAGGGAAUCCUUUUUUUUUUAAGGCCAUGGUCAUGAACCAGUAUUUUUUUUCUUUCAACAGUAUUUGAUAACAUAUAUGAGUUUUUAAUUGAAUAAGGUGUGGACCUUCAAUUAUUUUGUUCUCAGAACACAAAGAUGAAGAUCCUGCUACUUAUUACAGAUUUUUUUAUUUUUUUAGGCUGGUCAUUAUCUUGAGAAUUUAAUGUACAAUUAGUGAUUAAAUUUUUGAUGCUAUUGCUGUUGUUUAGAUCUAAGUUGAUCCACCAAAUAGAAAACCUGUUAUCUUCAGAAUCAUUACUUGAGAUUCAACCUCCCCCCCUCACCUCCCCUGUAAAAUAUUACACUUUAUGUGGUACUAUUUUCACUGAUGUUAAUGCUGUUAGGUUUAUGUUGUGUCCAAGUCAUAAGAUUCUAUUUACAAAUUAUGGCCCCAUAGGAAACACUUUAGUACAAUGUGCCAGUAAAUUUGAUAGUGGUUGUGCUGAUUUGAAAACUGAUUUGUUAAAGCUUGGCAUGAAGGGUAUGUAUUAUUUUGUGUGUUGUUUUGUUUUGUGUGUUUUUUAGAUAAAAACAAUGUUCUAUUUCUAAUUCAGGAAACCAUGAACAUCUGAAAUGCAUCUUGAAUAUUUGCUGUACAAGUAUUGCUGCAACAGUUAAGAUUAAUGCCUGAUUUGCAUGAUUUCCUUGAGACAAUCUUGUUUUAGUAACAUUUCUGGUGUUUCACAAAUAUUUUCAGAGUUUAAGCUUUGUAUUCCAGCACCAUACAUGUAUACCUUGAGGGCUAACUAUAGCUCAUCUUUAUUUUAGCUAUAAGAAUCACAGGGGACUUCGGCUCUAUCAGAGACGGAUUCCAGACCAGCAUAAUCCAUUUGAUGGCAAUGAAAUCCUAUAAAUAUUACAUUCAUCGAUUCAGAGACUGAGAAUGUUGACAUCAAGCUCGAACGACAAACUCUGCACUGCUCCACGAUCACUAAAGAUUGUCAGGUAUCUAUCUGAAAUUUUUAAUUUCAUAAGGUAUCACAAAGCCCUUCAAACUUAAAUUAUUCCCAGUUUUUUUCAUGACUUACAAAGAUGGGUAAGAAUUGUCUUUGAACUAGUUAAAAACUCAAACUUACAGUUCUUCUAACCUGAGACGAAAACCUGCAAGUUUUUGCCUUGACUCGCAUACAUGAACAAAUAUUGUCUCUGAAUGCACUCAAAACUCAGACUGACAGUUCCUCUAACCUGCGAUGAAUGUUCACUUGUAAAUCUGAAAAUUUCAAUUCGAAAAAGAAAAUUUUUUGAAUUGUACCAAGCUAUUUGGAAGGAAAAUUUUACUCAAAGAGGAAGACUUUUCUUUGAAACAAGAAAAGCAAGAAAGAUAACUGACAAAAUUUUAAUUUUAAAUGGGAA